ensembl:lncRNA
ACAAACACUGGGGUUGAGACUAAAGAGCUGAUCCAAAAUGAUGUGGCUGAGCACCAACUGGACAUACCUGUGACUGAAUCUAUUUUUAGUGACCCAAAAAUUGAGGAUAAUGAUAUUUCGCUUAAGGAGGACACUAAGACCAACUCUGCAUGCUUCCAGAAGAUUACAGUUGGCCAACAAACACCGGAAGAGAGAAAUGAGAAGGACAAAGGGCAAAAUAGACUAGAAGAAGAGAGAGAGAAGAUGGAGGAGCGAGAAAAGAAAUGGGUGGAAGAGGAAAUAAGAAAGGGAGAGGUGAUCAUAAUGGAGAAGCAAAAGAAGAGAGAGGAAGAGAACAGAAGGGUGGAGGACGAAAGAAAGGAAGAGGCAGUGAGGUUGGAGAUGAACAGAGAGAGAAUGGAGGAAGAGAUAAAGAAGAUGGAUGCAGAACAUGAUAAAGCCAAUAUGUCAAGGAGACUGGAAGAGAAGAGUAUGAGUGCUCUGGAAGAAGAAGAAGAGAGGAGGAGGAGGGUAAAGAAGGAAGUUGAGACAGAGAUGGUGAAAGGACAUCCCUCCCCUGCAGAAAAGUUAGAGUCUGAUGAUAAAGUCUUGAGAGAUCCUGCAGAAUGUGAAAAAGAAGGAAAGAAAGGCAGGAAUAAAGGCAAGAAGAUCCUGACGGAGGACAAAGGUAUGUGUGCGUUUAACAGAUAUGUAC